rnacentral:tRNA from 1 species
GCCGACGUAGCUCAGCUGGUAGAGCAGCUGAUUCGUAAUCAGCAGGUCGGCGGUUCGAAUCCGCCCGUCGGCUCCA